rnacentral:rRNA from 1 species
GACGAACGCUGGCGGCGUGCUUAACACAUGCAAGUCGAACGGAAAGGCCCUGCUUUUGUGGGGUGCUCGAGUGGCGAACGGGUGAGUAACACGUGAGUAACCUGCCCUUGACUUUGGGAUAACUUCAGGAAACUGGGGCUAAUACCGGAUAGGAGCUCCUGCUGCAUGGUGGGGGUUGGAAAGUUUCGGCGGUUGGGGAUGGACUCGCGGCUUAUCAGCUUGUUGGUGGGGUAGUGGCUUACCAAGGCUUUGACGGGUAGCCGGCCUGAGAGGGUGACCGGCCACAUGGGGCCGGAGAGACGGCCCAGCCUCCUACGGGAGGCAGCAGGGGGGAAUAUUGCACAAGGGGCGGAAGCAGGAUGCAGCAACGCCGCGUGCGGGAUGACGGCCUUCGGGUUGUAACCAGCUUUCGCCUGUGACGAAGCGUGAGUGAGGGUAAUGGGAAAAGAAGCACCGGCUACCUACGU